GGGGACGUAGUAUAACCUGGCUAGAACAAUCGCCUCCAGAGCGAUGAAUGAGGGUUCGAAUCCCUCCGUCCCCA
rnacentral:tRNA from 1 species